rnacentral:rRNA from 1 species
AUACGGAGGGGGCUAGCGUUGUUCGGAAUUACUGGGCGUAAAGCGCGCGUAGGCGGUCCGCGUAGUCAGGCGUGAAAGCCCCGGGCUCAACCUGGGAACUGCGUUUGAUACUGGCGGGCUAGAGUCCGGGAGAGGGUAGUGGAAUUCCCAGUGUAGAAGUGAAAUUCGUAGAUAUUGGGAAGAACACCAGUGGCGAAGGCGGCUACCUGGACCGGUACUGACGCUGAGGUGCGAAAGCGUGGGGAGCAAACAGGAUUAGAAACCCGAGUAGUCC